UACGGGGGGGGCAAGCGUUGUUCGGAAUUACUGGGCGUAAAGCGCACGUAGGCGGAUCGCUAAGUCAGGGGUGAAAUCCCAGGGCUCAACCCUGGAACUGCCUUUGAUACUGACGGUCUGGAGAUCGGGAGAGGUUGGUGGAAUUCCGAGUGUAGAGGUGAAAUUCGUAGAUAUUCGGAGGAACACCAGAAGCGAAGGCGGCCAACUGGCCCGAUACUGACG
rnacentral:rRNA from 1 species